AGCAGCCGCGGUAAUUCCAGCUCCAAUAGCGUAUAUUAAAGUUGUUGCAGUUAAAAAGCUCGUAGUUGAACUUCGGGAUCAAUUGAUUGGUCAUGCCAUUGGUAUGUACUGGUCAUAUUGGUUCUCACCUUCUAAGGAACCAUAAUGUCAUUCAUUUGAUGUUUUGGGGAAUUAGGACUGUUACCUUGAAAAAUUAGAGUGUUUAAAGCAGGCUAACGCUUGAAUACAUUAGCAUGGAAUAAUGAAAUAGGACAUCGCAUUCUAUUUUGUUGGUUUCUAGGAUCGAUGUAAUGAUUAAUAGGGAUAGUUGGGGGCAUUAGUAUUCAAUUGUCAGAGGUGAAAUUCUUGGAUUUAUUGAAGACUAACUACUGCGAAAGCAUUUGCCAAGGAUGUUUUCAUUGAUCAAGAACGAAAGUUAGGGGAUCGAAGACGAUCAGAUACCGUCGUAGU
rnacentral:rRNA from 1 species